rnacentral:rRNA from 1 species
ACGAACGCUGGCGGCGUGCCUAAUACAUGCAAGUUGAGCGCUGAAGGUUGGUACUUGUACCAACUGGAUGAGCAGCGAACGGGUGAGUAACGCGUGGGGAAUCUGCCUUUGAGCGGGGGACAACAUUUGGAAACGAAUGCUAAUACCGCAUAAAAACUUUAAACACAAGUUUUAAGUUUGAAAGGUGCAAUUGCAUCACUCAAAGAUGAUCCCGCGUUGUAUUAGCUAGUUGGUGAGGUAAAGGCUCACCAAGGCGAUGAUACAUAGCCGACCUGAGAGGGUGAUCGGCCACAUUGGGACUGAGACACGGCCCAAACUCCUACGGGAGGCAGCAGUAGGGAAUCUUCGGCAAUGGACGAAAGUCUGACCGAGCAACGCCGCGUGAGUGAAGAAGGUUUUCGGAUCGUAAAACUCUGUUGGUAGAGAAGAACGUUGGUGAGAGUGGAAAGCUCAUCAAGUGACGGUAACUACCCAGAAAGGGACGGCUAACUACGUG